GUGCUCAACGCCUUCCGGCAUCACGGCGACCGGCAC
rnacentral:other from 1 species